GAACGCUGGCGGCACGCUUAACACAUGCAAGUCGAACGGAGUUAUCGAGAGCUUGCUUUGAUAACUAGUGGCGGACGGGUGAGUAACACGUGAGCAAUCUGCCCUUAAGAGGGGGAUAGCAGUUGGAAACGACUGAUAAUACCGCAUAAGAUAGUAGUACCGCAUGGUACAGCUAUAAAAGAUUUAUCGCUUAAGGAUGAGCUCGCGUCUGAUUAGCUAGUUGGUGAGGUAACGGCUCACCAAGGCAACGAUCAGUAGCCGGACUGAGAGGUUGGACGGCCACAUUGGGACUGAGACACGGCCCAGACUCCUACGGGAGGCAGCAGUGGGGAAUAUUGCACAAUGGAGGAAACUCUGAUGCAGCGAUGCCGCGUGAGGGAAGAAGGUUUUAGGAUUGUAAACCUCUGUUGACAGGGACGAUAAUGACGGUACCUGUUGAGGAAGCUCCGGCUAACUACGUGCCAGCCGCCGC
rnacentral:rRNA from 1 species